CAACGGUCCCAUCCGGCCAGGGUGUCAAGGCGGGAGCGCGGCGGCGGCCUCUGCGGAUGGACGUCGCGGGAAGAGGGAAACCUUUCAGAAGAACUAGAUGCUGUUAAGCCUGGCCUGGUGGUGGGGCUUUCCCUCUGACCCACAGAAUGGCAGAGGCAGAGUCAUCUCCUGAGCUUCCGUUACAAAAAUAUAAACAAAGGUAGCUGUUGACAUUCCAGCCAUCUCUACUGGUCUUUACCACGUCCUUCCAGCUAAAAGCCCGUUAAUGCAGAAUGGCUUCCGUAAGAAGGACCGGCCAUCCCACGCACAGUAUUUUUGGUGAUUUUAGUGAUAUUUCCUUAGAAGAUUCGAAAAUGGAAGAAAUCAGAAACUUGAAAAUCGGUAGAAGUCUUACCAAAAUAGCACCCGGUCACAGCAGAUUUCUCAAAGGAAACCAAAGUAUGGGUGUAAAACACUCACUCCUGAAAGAGAAUACUGUCGUGGGGGGUGGGCACAGGCUGUCUUCAGAGAGACCCCCGACCACUGCCUCGAAGCUCAGAACAAGCGCUGCGCUCACAAAGCUGGCCCGGUUGGAAACCAAGAUCAUGAAUCGGAAGGCGCAGAUGGACUUGUCUGACGUGGCACAUGAUCUGACGACCUCCGAGGACAGUCUUCUGAGGAGCGCACGUUCAGCGCUUCCCAGGAGCACAGUUGAGCUUCCUUCCCACAGCCCAGAUAAAACCCAGAAGCAAGCCCGUGAGGUUCCCAUGGCCGAGAGCCACACACAGGGUGGGAAGGUCAGUCGGUUUCUAAAGAAGAGGGAACCACCCAUUGAAAAUCGAUUCCCUGAAGCACAUUUUGGAAAAGAGAGGAGUUUCCAAACACCCAAAGAGAAAAAGCCUACUAGAAAACUAGAUUCUCCAGACAGCGAUGAGGAGGAAAUGAAAGAGUUGCUAGGAAGCUUGAUAGAAUCUUCUAUAGAAAAGGAAACAUACAUGAAUCAGCGUUUCAUCAGCUCCAAAGUCAGUGAGAAAGAACAAACAAAACUAUUCUCGGAUCAGAUCCCAACUCAACCAAAGGUCCUUUCAUUACCCAGUGAGGAACAUUCUAGCCCAAAGCCAUUCCGGACAUCGCGUCUGCCAGCCUCACAGCCAGCAGAUGGGACCCUUUGCAGGGUGCGCUCAACAGCUCGCCCCCCACGGCCUCGCACUUCAGGGGACGCAGCUGCCCGCACAGCAUCGCCAUCCAUCGCUGGCACCUUCUCAAAGUCGGCCUCGCGGAUGCCACAUGGCAAGCUCUCUUCCCCUGAAAGGAGUGAGCCUGAGCCUCGUGACGAGUCGCCCUCAGAAGCUGCCGACGACAGCCUGAACGAUUUUCGAAUCAAUCUUUUAUCCCUCGAUGAUCUGGCUCCAGCUGUCAGUGAGAACUCAGACUUGGAACAGGAAAAAGAAGGCCAGCGGGUAAGGGCAUCCAGCCGAAGUCCCCAGGACACCACUGGAAGUGAGGUGUCUGAGCACCUGAGCGAGCCAUCACCUUCCUCGGCCGGGCCUGAGGGUGCUUCCAGCCCGAGGCCAGCAUCUCCGGUGCCCAUAGCCAGCACAGCGAGCUCAGUCUAUGCGGAGGAUUUUGAGCAGUCCCCAGAUCUGACAGCCUCCGAGUCAGGGGCCCGUUCCGAGUGUCCUGACGGGACACUGGGCACUCUGUCGGAAUUCUCUGCAAGCCUGGAGGGAGAUGUUCCCCCGCCAACGCUCAAGCCUUGGAAAAAGCGGGUCAGGGACGUUACAAGAGUCGUCAUGAAGGAGACGGCUGUGCAGACCCUCGAGCCCGCCUUCACCUACCAGUGGGCGGAGGGGGCCAGCGUGGCGGCCAUCGGGCCAGCCCUGGGAGGUGCCUAUGUGGACCCCGUGCCCAUUGCCAGUCACGUUAUCAGCGCGGACUCCAUAGAAGCCCUGACAGCUUACAGCCCGGCGGCGUUGGCGCUCAACGACAUGCUGAAGCAGCAGCUGAGCCUGACGCGGCAAUUCGUGGAGGCCACCCGGCACCUGCACGUGUCCCUCCUGCAGACCCUGGACCGAGACUCCUUCCACUACCACACCCUGGAGGAAACCAAACAGUACAUCAGGCACCACAGGCCUGCCCCGCUGUCCAUGGAGGAUGCCCUGGAGGAGGUAAAGAAGGAGCUUUGAGUACCGGAGGUGAGGCGGGAUUCGUGGCUUUGAGCCGACAAGCUGGUCCGGUACACCGGCUGUGACACACGUUGGUCUCCAGGCCCAGCUCAGAGACCACAUCACCUUUCUGAGAAAUCCACCUGCCGUCAGCCGCUGGACAAAGUGGCUUCCCAGGGCCAGGAUCAAGAGGACCGCACCUCAACCCCAGCCCGGCCCAGCCCGCUGCGCGUGGCCACCGAACUUGGGGCGCCGGGAGGGAAACGUGGAUCAGGCAAGGAGGGCGUGGCCUUGCUCGUUUCUGCCCCAGGAAUUCAAGUCAAGGGCGACAGAGUGUUGGCACUGUGCUAGCUGAGCCAGUUACAGACGGGGCAGAAACCAUUCACCUGGCUGUACUUCACCCUCUGAGGUUCCCCAGCCCUCACCCAACAUGGGGACCGAUGUCCCCAAGGAGCCCGGACGGUCAGCAUCGGGAUGGGUGUGAACACCUGACUUGCCUUGUUCUGCCCCUGCCCCCCAGGAAUACAGGGCUGGUCUCUCUCCCCCACAUGCCCUGCCCAGGGCCCCGCUGCAGAACCUCCGGUUGCCCCAGCAAGCCACGAAAAGCCAAACCCACCCACACAGGACACGGCCCACCCACGCCCACCUGGGAAAAUACCUGCUGCUGGCCCCAAGGAGCCACAGGAUGAGGCUGGUCAAACCAUGGGGGCUUGUUAGGUGGGAUC